rnacentral:rRNA from 1 species
GAUGAACGCUAGCUACAGGCUUAACACAUGCAAGUCGAGGGGAAACGAUAUUGGAAGCUUGCUUCCGAUAGGCGUCGACCGGCGCACGGGUGAGUAACGCGUAUCCAACCUGCCCAUCACUUGGGGAUAACCUUGCGAAAGUAAGACUAAUACCCAAUGAUAUUUAUAGAAGGCAUCCGAAAUGAAUUAAAGAUUUAUCGGUGAUGGAUGGGGAUGCGUCUGAUUAGCUUGUUGGCGGGGUAACGGCCCACCAAGGCGACGAUCAGUAGGGGUUCUGAGAGGAAGGUCCCCCACAUUGGAACUGAGACACGGUCCAAACUCCUACGGGAGGCAGCAGUGAGGAAUAUUGGUCAAUGGGCGAGAGCCUGAACCAGCCAAGUAGCGUGCAGGAUGACGGCCUUAUGGGUUGUAAACUGCUUUUAUAGGGGAAUAAAGUGAGCCACGUGUGGUUUUUUGCAUGUACCCUAUGAAUAAGGACCGGCUAAUUCCGUGCCAGCCGCCGCAGUAAAAC